AUUUGAUGCUGGGGACACUUGAUGCACAAUUUCAAAAACGCUCUCAGUAAUCAUAGAGCGAUUCUUCUGGAUGCUGCUUGAUACUGCAAAUUUCUUUUCUUAGACU